rnacentral:rRNA from 1 species
GACGAACGCUGGCGGCGUGCCUAAUACAUGCAAGUCGUGCGGACCUUUUAAAAGCUUGCUUUUAAAAGGUUAGCGGCGGACGGGUGAGUAACACGUGGGCAACCUGCCUGUAAGACUGGGAUAACGCCGGGAAACCGGGGCUAAUACCGGAUCGUUUUUCCUCCGUAUGGUGGAAAAAGGAAAGGCGGCUUCGGCUGCCACUUACAGAUGGGCCCGCGGCGCAUUAGCUAGUUGGCGGGGUAACGGCCCACCAACGCAACGAUGCGUAGCCGACCUGAGAGGGUGAGCGGCCACAUUGGGACUGGGACACGGCCCAAACUCCUAGGAGAGGCAGCAGUAGGGAAUCUUCCGCAAUGGACGAAAGUCGGACGGGGCAACGCCGCGUGAGUGAAGAAGGCCGUCGGGUCGUAAAAAUCAGUUGCCGGGGAAGAACGAGUGCCGUUCGAAAAGGGCGGCGCCUUGACGGUACCCGGCCAGAAAGCCACGGCUAACUACGUG